rnacentral:tRNA from 2 species
GGGGAUGGAUGUCGUCCGGUGGCGGCCCUAGUCUUCAAAAUUAGUGGGCGGUUGCGACCAGCAAGCGUCGGUGGGUUCGACUCCCAUCCGUUCCCG